UGACCUUAAUUGAUUAAAGGACAACACCCAAAGCCUGCAGAACAGGGGAGCAAUGCCAGACAGAAGCUGGCACAGAGGCUGGGACCAAAGCCGGAGCUACAGGGGAGCCAAAAGUGCCAUGGAGCCAAGGAGGCUAGGCUGCCACCACCUGAAAGAAGGGGAAAGAAAGAGUCAGUGCCGGCCCUGUUCCAGAUGCACAGUGCAGUGACAGAACAAUCCCAGGGCCAGCUCAGCUGCAGUCUCAUUAAGCCAGGCUCGGGACAAAUGCAGGCCCUCAGGAAGAAAGAACGGAAGAAAAUUGCCUAUUGAGAGCCAAGGGAACAACGUACACUGUAACAACAGGGUGGAGCUUGGAUGGUGUGUAAAGGAGGUAGGAGCCCCAAGGAAGACCCGGACCUGGCACAUCGAGGACUGUGAAAAUAGACCAUCUCCCAACAAAGACAUAUUUAAUACCAAGAUGAGGUAGGAAAGCAUUGGGUGACCUCCACUGAGUGCUAGAACUAGGUGAGCCCACAUCCUCAUGGCCCAUUCUCACAGGCCGCAGGGCUGCUGGGCCCUGUGACCCUAUCCUACACUGUGCCGACACUGAUUUUCAAAAACGCUGAGAACUUUGUGGUUUCUAUUAAAUUAAGUGGGACUUCUGGACUCAAGCCAUUUUGAAAAUUCCACCUUUACAUGCCUAAAUAUGGAUUUAAGUGCCUACAUUUUUAGGCUUCUAUUGUGGUAAAUCUUGCCUAUAUUUCCUGUCAGCCUAUGUUGUAACUACAAAAUCAUCACACUCUCUGUUUAGAAACAGAAUACAUCUCCACUGGAGUCAACUGGUGCCUCUCCUUUAACCUGAGUAGGAGUUGAGAAAAGUCCAAAGUAAGGAAUGUAAAUUUCAUAGAACAGUAUUUCUUUUGGCUAGCAAGAAUUUAUCUCCAAGCCUUGACUCUGCAAGCUGAAAGCACAAUGCAAACAGAAGAAUGAAGGAGGAAAGCAUUUUUACUAUUAAAUCUAACCAAAAAAAGCAAACCCCCAGAACACUCCUUGGGCUGCAGUCCAUCUCUUAUACAAGUAGAGCUAGAACUCUUUCUGCUGCUCAGUUUUUAACAGGAGAAUAAUAAAUCCUUCAUAACAAACAGCAGAUAAGACACUUCUGGUGCUCUGAAGAAAAAUUCAAAUAUUAAUCAGCAUGAUUGUCACAUUAUUUCCUUGUUCUUCCCCAUCUGUAUGUCUGUGUAUGCCUGUUGUCUCUUGUCUUGCACUUUGCAAGACUAAGCUCUUUGUGGGAGGGACCAUCUUUUUGUUCUGUUUUUAAAUAGUCCCUAGGUACCUAACCUUAUGUAUCCUAGAUGGCACUGCAAUCCAGACAAUGAAUUAUCAUCAUUCCUGCUAAUACCUAGAAGGCACUUGAGAUUUACAAACAACUUACUGACUAUAUGUAAGAUUUUUGAGUAAUAAACAAUAUGAUUCCACAACUAACAGCACUUGAAACUUGCUGCUUAUAUUUAUAAGUCACAUUCUGUAUGAUUCAGACAACUGCAAGGUGCUAACUCCCUGCGUGAUGGAAAACAAAUAGGGCCUCUACAUCAUAUAGCAGGUGGAAAAAUGCCAAAGAGAAAGAGAGAACGAACAAGUGGAGAUGAGAGAUAAACAAGUGAAAGCCAGAGAAGAUUGGAACUUAUUAUAUUCAUGCAGCAACUCCACACUCUCCCCUUGUGCUUGUCAAAAUCCUUCUGCCACAUUGCAGGAGAUGCUCUCCCCUCUCUCCUUGUGAAACCAAAGAUCUCCCAUACACUUCAGCCCUGGCCACCCGUAAGAUCCUCCAGGAGAUCACUGAAUUUUCUCAGUCUCAACGGGUCCAUUAGCCACUGUGAUGAAAGUGAGGAAACUCGUACUUUAGAGCUCUGAAGUUUCAUUUCUCCUGUCCCCUCAGGCUGAUUUUAGAGCCCAUCUGCCUCAGAUUUCCACAGCCACAUAGAGGUCCAUCAUGUAUAUAAUGAAAUAGCUAAUACACUAGAAAGGGUUGUCAGAACACAAAGUGAUUGUCAAUUCAUACAGCAUUCUCCCACAAGCAUCGUUUUCUUUACAAAAUGGAGUGAAAUGUCAGAGGCCAAACAUUCUGUAUUUUUACUCUGUGCAAUUCAACAUCUUGGCAAACAAUUUUUCCGCUCUAGGGCCUGUGAGAGGAAGGAUGGUCUUGUGGUUAGAGCUUGGGCCUAGAUUAUAGAUUAGUUUAUAUAUUAUAAAGCCAGAAGGGCUCAUUAUGAUCAUCUAAUCCUGUCAUAACACAGGCUGUAGGACUUCUCUGAAUUAAUUCUUGUUUCAACCAGAGCUGAUCUUUUAGAAGAACAUCCACUUCUGAUUUAAAAAUAUGCAGUGACAGAGAAUCAACCAAAACUUUGCUAAAUUGUUACGAUAGUUAAUCAUCCUUACUAUUAAACGUUCCCAACUUAUUUUGUAUCUCCAUUUGCCUAGUUUCAGCUUCUAGCCACUGGAUUCUAUUAUACCUUUGUCUGUGUCACUGAGCCUCUGUCACCAUGGAGGGAAGAACUGACAGGGCUCAGUAUCCAGGUACUUUAGAGUCUCUGGCUGGGGUUAUUGGGGUUUGGCCCCCCUUUCCUGGGAGAGACUGCUUCUGCCCUCACUUGGUCUCACCUGCCAUGCCUUUGAUGUAACCCUAAAGGCGGUGAUAUUCUGGUGCCAGGAACAGUCCACCUUAGGAUGGAAAAGUCUUCCCCGCAACACUGACAGUUUGUCUAGCACUGGGUCUCUUGUCCAUCCAUCCAGCCUUAAGGACCAAGUUUGGGAGCUCCUCCACCUCAUACCUCCAGUCUUAGUCAGGUCUGUGCCCAGCAUCAUGGUUGAAGGCACUGGAUUUGGCUCCCGGAAUAGCCAGGAGUCCGCAGAUCAGCCCCAUUCUGCUGGGGUUGAUCCAAGAUGCUGUCCUGGCUCUCCUGGCCCUGCACUGGGGCUGACUAUGAGGUAAGUCUCAUGCAUUUAGCUGUUUGGGGAAGGGUUAUGAGCAGGGUUUUUCUUUCUCUCACCUCCCUUCUGCCACAGUCUGCUAGAAUAAACAGCCCAUUACUACCACAUUUGUUUCCCUCUGUCAGUACUUGUAGAGUGAACAAGUCACACCUUACCUUUCUCUUUCUGUCAAUUAAAAAAAAAUCAAGCUCCAAGACUCUUUUAUUACAGCUACAGACACAACAUUUGUCUUGGAAUAUCCUAUUUUAUUCUGGGACAAAGUGCAAUUGUUCAGAUAUCCAUGUCUAUUGUCCCAAGACAAACUCUACAAAGGUUCUUGGGAUAAGAAGUGCUAACAGCUUGCCCUGGGACAUCACAACAUGCAUUUAAACAGUUGUCCCAGGAUUUCAUCACUGAAUCAUUGGCAGAAAAGUAGAAGUCCAAUCAGCUACUCACUAAACACCAAUUGGAAAGGUAAUGUAUGUACACACCAGUCCUGGGACUUUUCUCUUCAAGAACAAACACAGGCACAAUUCAUCCCCAGAUAUGUGCAAUGUCUGUUUCUAGCCUACUAGUCA